rnacentral:lncRNA from 1 species
UCAACCCUUAAAAACACACACACACACACACACAUUUCCUUAAAAGAAUAAUGCUAUAUAGUACCAAGUAAUAGCACUUGUGUCAUUAAAUCAUAUACUCAAACAAAUAUAAUGAUUUAUGACAUUUUAUAUAACUUCUAUAUGUUGAUAUCUAGACCAAUAUUCGAUUCCAUUGAUAUUAAAUAAAAGGAACGACCGUCACUAUUAAUCGGAAUAAGUGGUCAAGAAUUAAUGGGCCAAUGGCUGAGAAAUUGUCUACAAAAUAUCUUCAAGAACGAGUAGCCACUGUCUUCAGUCUUAUCCAAUGAUACACAAGUGGAUUCAGCCCUAUCAGAAUUUAUAUUGCCCCCUCUCAACUCAAAAAUAUUUGUCCAAAUUGGCAACAAUUUCAAUAUUUUGAUGGCAAGGGCACAAGUAGGGAGAUGACAAUUUACUAGGGAGUAUAUUUAAGCUUUUGCAGUUUCCUUUUCCUACAUGUUUGCAGGUCUGCAUCUGUACCGUGAAAAGUUUACUACAUUUUUUAAAUUCAAAAAUAAUUCAAUUAAGCAUGUUGAUGAAGAGGAAUUCCGCAUUACAAUUUAGAAUGAACUUUUACUUCACAAUUUAAUUAACUAAGGCGAAAAGUUAUUGUCAAAAUUAAUAUCAAUUAAAUUCUCAAAUCAUAAAAUAUAAAAAAUGCUCAAGUACUAAAAAUAAAUAAAUAAAAAUUCAGGCCGUUUCAACAAACUGCUAAAAAAAAAAAACUUGGAUUUUUCUAAUACUCAAUAAUCAAUAUUACACGUAUAUAUAUGCGCGCGCGCGCGCACAUACACACAGACAAGAAUAAUGUUACUAAACUUUGAAUUUCGAAACCGAAAAUACUUACCAGUUGUCCAGCUCAAAAUCCACUAUGGAGUAAAAGAACUUUUAAGAGAUGAAAUAUUUGAUUUGGAUAAUGGGUUCCUUAAUUUUGUAGAAAUUUUAUGGGGAAUUGAAAAUUUGAAAGUUUGAAGACUUCGAUUGCCUAUAACGGGUUGGAGAAUGGAUAGGAAUUGCCG